rnacentral:lncRNA from 1 species
UCUAAAGUUGUGCAGGGAACUGGAAUUUCCGUUUCACCAGAAAUACUGAAAUUUCUAAAUUUGUUUUCAUUCCAAAAUGGAAAUAAAUUUGGAGAGAGCAUGAUUUCAAAAUGAAAAUCAAACCAUUCUGUUCUGAAAUUGUUGAAAUGGGAUGUUUCAACCUUAUCCAAAUGGUUUUCUUCAAUUUUGUUUUUCAAAACAAAGAUUCAUUAAAAUUCACGUUUCUCUAGAAUAGUGGUGGGCAACCUGCAGCCCGUGGGCCACACUUGGCCCAUAAAGGUAAUCUGCUGGCGGGCUGCAAGACAGUUUGUUUAUAUUGACCGUCCGCAGGCACGGCUGCCCGCAGCUCCCAGUUCCCUGCCAAUGGGAGCUGUGGGAAGACUAUCAGUGUUGUAAUGUAUGGUAUUUGCCAAUGCAUUCUAAUCUACUACAUGGCAGCUAAGUUUAUCAGCACUGUAAAAGGAAUUCCACACUACUGAAGCAAUGAAAUGGAAACCAUAUGUAAUAGUGAGGAAACUCAGUUCCAGCAUAAACUAGUGGAGAAGGAAGGGGAUUAUUAUAGAAAAUGACAAAGAAAAAACAAUUCCUGCAUGUAGCAAGAGAUGCCCAAAUUCCUACUUAUAUGGACCAAGCCCAGACUUUCUCAUAUCAUGGACUGUGCUUUCCUGCAUUGUUGUGUAACCAACAUGUGCAAGCUUGUAAUAUCUGUGUUUCUUUCCUUGCAGGUGUUGAUGCCCUCUUCAUUACCAGAAAUCCUUCUCUUACGAGGCAGCUCUUCCCUAGAUCUUGAAGAUCGGAUCAGAUUUGUUAAGGGAUCCUCUCUAUUUCUGUCAUGUUGUUCACGUACAGACCACUCCUGUUUCCUCACUUUAUACCUUUCUUCGAGGGCUUACAUUGCUGCCUGCAAAGCACUAUCCUUCUGGAUGAUGGGGACUUUGGAACCAGUUUAUGUUCCUUCAUCCUUGGCUCAGAGUUCUCUGUUAAGCAGUGUGAGGCCCUUUUCCUCCUCAGAACACAUCAUUCUGAACAUAUGCUGA